UCUAUUUUUCAUGUUCUCGUCGAUCUUUUUCUCUAUGUGAUGGCUGGAUGCUUCAUCAAAUGAUGAAAAGCAAGUAGUUUCUCUCAAUUGCAAUAGAAGAUCGAUUUGAAUAGAUGAAACCACGCAUAAUGAAAAAUUGAAAACAGUGCUUAUCUUUGAAAAAGUUUCGCGAUCUCUGUGAAAAUGGAGAUUGGACGUCAGAAUGCUAAAAAAUUAUAGAGCAAGCUUACAAAGGACAAAAGAAAAACUAGUUUUCUAUUCCCUUUUUAUUCUCCAUUUUCUUUUUCUAGAAUUCUUGGAUAAUGUUGAUCCGGCUCAUGUAGGACAAAGACUGGGAUAAAAGGUUAUUGCUGGGUUCUAUUGUCUUAGUCAUAUAUUCUGAAGAAAAAUAACCUCUAGUAGCAUUGCAAGAACUUUAGUCUUGGUGUGGUACAUAAAAACUUUUUCUAAUUUUACUUUUUAAAUUUAUAUGUAUUUUGUUUACAAAAUCAUAAGAGUUUGUCAACAAUAAAAGGUACUACCGUGAAAAUGACAAUGAAAUUUAGAAUUUUUAAAAAGUUAUUUUUAAUGUUAGCUAGAAACUAUUUUAUUUGAGUUUUGGUUAUUACACAAAUAUGCAACUCUUACGUGCUUGUAUGAAUAAAAACAUACGUAGACACGUAAAAACUUAGAAAACAAGAAUUAGAAAAGGUAUCAUGUACCGAAUGGAGUUACCAAGGCUUAAAUUGUGUCAUCUAAAUCCUAGUCAUGAUACUCCCUGAUGAAACCUCAAAGAUUCUUGUAUAUAAAAUAUUGGUAUUAGGGAAUGAUGAAAUUAAUGGGUUUGUGACCUAUAUAUCUUGUUAUAUAUGUAUAUAUUGAUUUCAUCUCCUGUUUUAUGCUGUGGGGAAGAUUGAUCAAAUCCAUAAUGAUGGAAAUGCUGCUUAUGGAAUCUUUCAAGUUGAUGAUGCCUGAAGGUGCAUAUGCACAAAGCUGUUUUAUACAGUAAACAUCUCCCCUGGCCACAAAGUAGUUUUUCAGAAAAGUGUAAACAUUAGCUUGUACAGUUUAUCUCUGAAUUUGGAGGACUGAUGAAUGUCAUGAAUUGAGUUAAUUAGGAAAAAAGGAUGGAGAUGAAACUGCUCCACCAUUGGUAAUAACUCGAAUUGUUGCCAUUUUUCAGUGUCAUGUUUUAACAAUUCUUUUGUGUAAAAGUGAAAAAGAUUGUUUAGGCUGUAAUUGAUACAUGAAGUUAUUAUUUUUUUAAUUUUACUUUUUAAAUUUGAAUAUGUUUAUAAAUAAAAUAAUUAAAUAAUGAUAACAAUUUAAAAAUGAUUGUAGAAAUAAGAGAAUUUAAAAAAAAAAAACUGAAAAAAUUAUUUUUACUAUAUUUUUAAUUGAAGUUUAGAUCAUGGUUUUAUUUCUGAUCAAAUGUUGUCACAUAAUAAGAUAACUUAUAAAAGAUUUCUAAGUUUAAUAGUAUCGAGUUUUGUUUUAUGUUUUUCUCCUUUAAAUUUAAGUAAGAUUUAUUAAUGUUGUUAAUUAUAGAAUAAUUUGGUUAAUUAUAAAAAAAAAGUCCUUAAUCUUCUACUCCUUUUUUUAAUUUUUAGUUUAAUGGAAUGCUCAUGUUUUAAUUCGUUUCCAUUGCUUCAAUUAAAGUCUUUAAUUUCUUAUUUUUUAAAUCAGUAAUUUAGUUAAUAAAUAAAAUUUGAAUAUAUUAAUUAAUUGAUAAUUGUAUAAUUAAUUUUUAAUAUUAUAAUUUUUAUGUUAAUUAAUAUAUUUUAUUAAAAAAUUAUAUAGUUUUAAAGUGUCGAUGAACUUAAUUUCUGCAAGGAUAAAAAAGUUUUAAAUUUAAGCAUAGCUCUCUCCUCCAACGUCGAUAUGUCCGAGUGGUUAAAGAGACAGACUCGAAAUCUGUUGGGCUAUGCCUGCGCAGGUUCGAAUCCUGCUGUCGACGAUAUUUAUUUUUUGGUUAAUAAUUACUUUCUGAUUUCGGAUUCCAGAGAAGAGCCUUUAUUUCCUAAUUGUAAGUCUACCAUAAUACUAAUAAUAAUAAUAAUAUAAGAAUUUUGUGAAUGGCUGGAAAAAUACAAAAAGUAUUUAUUAUUUAUAUUAGAUUUCUAUUUCAUGCUACACACAUAUUAUAAAUUUAAAAAUUAAUUAAAUAAUAUAUAAAUUUUAAUUAAUGAAAAAUUAAAUUCUAAUUUUAUUUGAAAAUUUUAAAUAAAUAAUUAUUAUUUAUAUUAUCAAUUCUUUUUAUAUUUGAAAAGCAUAUAGUAUAUGAUUUGUGGUAAUUAAAAAUUAAAUUCUAUUUUUAUUUUAAAAAUUCGAAUAGAUAAAUAUUAUGUAUUAAUGUUAUUUUUUAAAAAUUAAAUGUGUAUUUUUAUGUAAAUAAAAAAUGUACAUUAUUUAAUGAACAAUGAAGACAUUUUAAUUGUACAAGUUAUGUUAAUAUUAUAAUUUUUGGAGCUACAAAUGAGAAAAUGUACUAACAAUUUUAUAGAAGUAUGGAAGCUUAACUUGAAAUGAGUAUGAUUUUUUAAAUAAACUAUUUUUUAAGCCUAAAGUGAAACAAAUAAUUGAAAAGAUUUUCAUUAUACACGCGCACACAUGAAAUAAAUUAAAAAUUAAGAAGAAAAAAAUAUUUGAAGAAAAAUAUAAAAUAUACAUGUUGUGUGUGAGUAUUAAAAUUGCUUAUAAGCUAAUUGACUUACUGAAUAUAUAAACGAAAAAAUAAAACAUAUAACAACUAUUGCUGAAAAGAGAUAAAUAGAAAAUAAUAAAACAUAUAUUAGAAUAACAAACUCAAUUAUUUAUGUCAAUACUCAAUAGAUGAACAAUAAAUAAAAAAUUAUCAUACGUUUUAAAUGAGAUUAUAAUAAAUAACGAUAAUAUUAGGAAAUUCGAAGACAUCAAUGGGGGUUUCAGGAAGAGUUACCUUUUCUGUUUAACAGUUUGUCCACCAUGAAAAUAGCUCAGUCGUAAAUAGGAUCAAGUGGUUGGAAGAACACUGCAUGUUGCGUAGUGUUCGAUGCACCUCCGGUGGCCCUUGAAAAUCCAGAAGACAGAGUGCCUUUCACAUCCAGUUGUACUCAUAACCGCAUUAUAUCUUCAAGAUGAACAAUCUUUGGUCGAUAGAAUAAUGUAGGCAACGGAAGUCAGCAAAAUGGAUCCGUAACCUCGUUAAAAGGAUUGACUCUCAAGAUUGGACAUAAGGUGUAGGUAACUAUAUAUUUGAUAAUAAAAAUGAGGUUUUAAUUUGUGUUUUUAAAUAUAUAUAUUAUUUAUUUAUUUAAUAUUUUUAAUUCUUAAUGAAAAAAAAAUUAAUUGGUUCAAAAAUUUUAAAUCGUAUUGAAUCAAAUAUUAUUUAGUAAAAUUUUCUAUUUAAGAUCCAACAAUGCUUAUCCCUAUUAAAAAUAUCAACAAAAUGUUUCUUCUAAAGCUGGUUAACCUAUUUGGACCAGGCAAUGCUCAUGAAAGCACUAUCAAGAAAAUUCUCUUUUAGCUGAGUAACGUAGUUGCAUAAAAGAUCCGUAGCUCUGAUAAUUUAGAUAAAAACCAUGGCCAGGUACAAUUAUUCAAACUGAGCCUUUCUCUCUCUUGCUUUCCAAUUGGCAUCUGGCAACGGGUUUCAUCUCUCUCCGCCACUCUCAUCUACCGUUCUUUCUGCUUUGAAGCCACUGAACCACCUCCAUAUCUGUAGCCUAUAGGUAUCGGUUCUUGUUUGUAUUGUUUUCAGUUUUGGAAGAUUGGAGACAUGGAUUUGAAACCCAGUUUCUCUGUUAAAUCCUCUCCAUCUUCCACUCCUGCUCUCUUCGGCACUCUGUGCCGACCCCGGGAAUUUGGGUGUCGAUCGAGUUCAAGAGUUUCCGCGUCUGUUUCAUCNNNNNNNNNNNNNNNNNNNNNNNNNNNNNNNNNNNNNNNNNNNNNNNNNNNNNNNNNNNNNNNNNNNNNNNNNNNNNNNNNNNNNNNNNNNNNNNNNNNNNNNNNNNNNNUUUUGCUUUAUGUAUUCUGUGGAGAAUCCUGCAUUCAGGAAGAAAUUAUCACCCCUCGAAGUGGCACAGCAUGGUCCUAGAUUCACAGGUGUUGGGGCUCAAAUUCUCGGUGCUUACGACAAGUAUAUAUGCCAAUACACUGAAGAGUCUCAGAAUUUCUGGGGAAGUAAGACUGUUCUACGAAUUAUCUUUGAGCUUUUCAUUUUCGGCUCUCAUAUAUGACAUAUUUAUGUACAUAUGUGUGGAUUUGUAUGCAUAUAACAUAUAUGUAUGUAUAUGCAUGUGCACGUAUUGCUAGCAAAUAUAUUAUAUCCUACAUAUUUUUUUUUUAAGUUUGUAAUAUAUCUAUGCGUGUAUAGUUACGUCUAUAUAUGUUUCUGUAAGUACAAAAACAGCGUAUAUAUUAAUCUAUGUAGGUGUACGGAUAUAAGUAUGUGUUUUCUAAGGGUGCAUUCACAUGUUUUUGAGAGCUGCAAUUGCCGCUUCCUCAUCUAGCUUACCCACAAAAUAUACCUCCUUCCAGCACAGAGUGAUAUGAUUGCGUUAGGUGUUGUCACUUCUUUAUUAGUUUCCGAAAAGAGUUACACUAACUUUUUAGGCCUCUUGUUAUUGAUGAAAUGUACAAGGAAUGUAUCUGCCAAGUUUCUGAAGCAAUGCAUUAAUCUUGAUCUGAGUUUUUGAAACUACUCCUUUUCCCCCUUCUUUGGUGUAACAUGACCUCUAAAUAACAUCGCCUCUGGUGCUCCUUGAAAUUAUAUAGCAUUUGACAAAUCGUUAAGAUGAUUCACAGGAUCAUCUGUCUCAUUGUAAUGGUUUGUUUGAUGCAAUUUAAAUUUUAAGGAGAUUGGCUCGCCCUUAGGGUUGACAGAAAAUGGAAAUUCUCCAUUGUACUCAAAGUAAUAGGGGUCAUUAUUGAGGAGCUUGACCUCAUUUCCUAAUGAAUCUCCACAAAAAUUUCUGCACUAAUCGUGGCAGUCUUGUUGGGGUUGUCCAAUUUUCUUUCCACCUCAUUAACCUCGUUUUUGGAAACUCCAAGGCUUCGCUAAACAACACUUCAUGUAUUUGUCUACUGAGCGUCACAGUCAAUUUGUUUCCUCCUGUUUUGGUUCCUAUUGACAUCUUCUGGCAUCUGGAAGUUAGUCAUCCUUUCUUCUAUGUACUUUUGUGUUGCUUAUGUAGUCGUAUGUAAUUCCAGAAAUGAAAACUAUGAGAUAUUUUAGUUUACCAAAUGGAGAAGUUUCUCUAUGUCAACACACUUUUUCUUGUCCUUCUCUUUUGACUAAGCUUUGGAACUUGGAUCUAGCUGAACCUGGUUUUUAAGAUAACCUUAAGAGGCUGGAAUAAGGCAGUUGUCUUUCUUGAAUUUAUGAAUUAAAAUGGUUUCUUAUUGCAACAAUUUUUUCUUAUUUUUAUCUUUCGAGAAACAAUAUUUUGUGGUCAAUUUUGAGUCAAUUAUUAUCAAUGCAAAUAAUUGUUGUGUUCAUUGGGUUUGAAUCAUUAGGAUAUCCAGUUUGGUGCUGUUUGUUAGAUCUUAUUGAUACCUUAGCUUCUUUUUUUUUUUUUUUGCUUCUCCAUGAAGGACCUGUGCAGGAUCUUUAGUCAACAUAGGAUGUAUAUCACUUCAUCUUGUUUGGUAAACCAUUUUAAUCUUGCUUCCCUUAUCCAGCAGUUCAUAUUGCUGCCAGGAUUUAUCCAGGAACUUCUGGACUCAACAUAAUGUCGUAAGAUAAUCAAUUUUAAAAUGAAAUAACACGAGUUUGUAGUUUGCUCUAAACUGCUCAUGAAAAAUUUCUUCUUUGUUUGUUAUUUGUUCUUUGUCUCUUUUACUAUCAUUCAAUGCUUGAUGUGUAAGUUCACCUGCCCUCCAUUCUGACUUACAUUUCAUCCAUGAAUAGGUAGGCAUGAACUCAUUCUAGGCAAUACUUUUACAGCCGUGGAAGGCUCACGGCCUCCGAAUAAGGAAGUUUCUCCACAGGUUCAUAUCUUAAUCUUCUCAUUGUAAAAUUUGUAUCUCAUAAUAUUUUUCUUGUAAAAAUUGAGAAUGUAAAAUGCAUAUAGAUGUGUAUUUUUUAUUCUGAGAAUGAUCAACUUUGCUUGCUUUUUAUUUGAUUUCCUCUGCCAUGUACUUGAAAAUUUUCCACUCAACUGCUGGACAGCUUUUUGAUGCUUAAAAGUCCACUUGAACAACUGUUGUAUUGAAUCUCUAUGAUCUGCUUGUCCAACAAAAUUUCAUCCUUAUUGCCCUUGUUUUUACUUAGGAGUUUAACAAACGAGUUUCGGAAGGUUUUCAAGUGACCCCACUUUGGCAUCAAGGUUUUAUUCGUGAUGAUGGCAGGUAACUUCCUGUUCUUAAUUUGUGGUUAUGAUUUUAAUAAAAGAGGCAUUUGUAAUAGAGAAGUUGGUUAAUAAGUGCAUACAUUGUGUUCUUCUUAUGCGAUAAGUUGGUCUAAAAGCAUAAACGAUGAGUUCUUCUUAUGCAACACAUGCAAUUAUAUAGAUACGUGAUGAAUAGUUGAUAAUAUGGUUAAAAAGCAUAUGUAAUUGAAUAAUUAUUAUUUCUCACACGCAAAUACAUACAUACACUGUUAUGGUCCCGAUUUAUGGAUCUUGUUAUGAGAUUCUGUUAAUAGUAUGGACUCGUUAAUAGAGAACUCAGUGAUCCCUUAAAGAUAAAGCACUUACGAAACUUUUUUGACAAAUUUUUCUGCAUUCCUCUAUUUCCGGAAUAGCAAGUGGCUUUUACACAAUAGGGAUGAGAAGCAGUUGUUCUGGUGGUUAUUCCCAGAGCAGUUACUGCUGCAAAUUCUUUCUAUUUUUCUUCUAUUAUCCUACCAUGCUAUUAUAUGAAUACUCACUUAAAUGUCUUAUUUAGUACACACAAAAUCCAGCACAUGAGAAGCAGUUAAUUUGGGUAGCUACUUCAGAGUUAAUUUGGCCAACUGCCCUCUGUUUUUCUCCCUUAUUUUCUCUUACUAAACACCCACAACACAAUUCCUAUAUAAUAAAAGUUACACGCUUUUGCUCACUGAUUUUUCCUUAUACUACACACACCUGAUUACAACACCAAAUACAUAACAACCACUUCCAAACAGCCACAUAAAAUAGUACCUGCACACUACACAGCCACAUAAAACAACACCUGCAUAUUACAUCAUUUUCUUUUCCUGCUUUGCCUUUUUCUUUCUUUAAUACACUCAAGGUGUUAUUUUGCCAUAAAUGUUCCUAAGACACACACACACACACACACACACACACACACACACACACACUCACACACAGACGUAUACAUCCUCUAGGGUCAUAUGGUUAGCUUGAGAGUUUGACUGGAAGCCUAUAAAGCCAUACAGGUAAGUAUUAGGGGUGUCCAACAUUUCACUUUUCAAGGUUCUAUGAUGUUUAAGAACUAUCAGGAACAUAAGUAGUCAAAUGCCAAGCCUAUUUGUUUCUUAAUUUCCCUUCUUGUUUGUUCAAUUUUCAAAAUUAGAAUAUCGUCAUAUAUUGUUCUGUUUUAAUCUUGCUUGUCUCAGUUAAUGAUCUAGUUUGUGAUUGUUUUGGUUUCUCAGUUCAAUAAACAUUAGUGUAGAAAAUGCUGUAAUAAAUUAGGUUCAGAGUGGAAUAUUCCUAGUAGGUGAGGUGUCAUUCUUCUAAAAGGUGAGAUGGCAUGAUAACAACAGAAAUCUGUUAUCACACCUUCCUCACAUUCCUGAAAAGAUGCCUCAUUUUUCUUCUAUAAAUGGCAUCCUUUGGUGCCUGAAAUUAAUAAGAGAAAAACAAGGGAGAAUUCCUUCACAAAAAUCUCCAUUCACAAAACUCUUCAUGGUAUCAGAGCUCUGAUAUGAGAGCUUCCUUCAGUUGAGCCAUAAUUCAAAUGGCCACAAGCGAGCUCAAUUCUUCUCCUUUCGAAGUCUCUUCGGGUCCCUACCUUCCCGCGACUCCGAACCACAGCCUAGUUGAGCAGGCAUCAUCGUUCAUCACGGGGCACAAACUGAACGGACAGAACUACCUUCAAUGGUCAACCUCUGUCUUACUGUUUAUUUGCUGCAAGGGCUGCAACGAUUACCUCACUAGUGAAACUAUCCCUCCUGAAACCAGCGACCCAAGUUUCCGCAUCUAGAAAAUAGAGAAUAGCAUGGUAAUUUCGUGGCUUAUUAAUUCAAUGGUGCCCGACAUUUGUGAGAACUUCAUGCUAUAUGAAACAGCAAAGGAAAUCUAGGAAGCGACUCGCGAAUCGUACUCCAGCAAAGAUAACGUCUUUGCAGUCUUCGAGGUGGAGUCGACUCUCCAUGAGCUGCGUCAGGAUGAGCUUUCUGUUACCCAGUAUUUUAAUUUACUAACUCGAAACUGGCAGCAACUGGAUACCUUCGAGAAGCAUCAAUGGAGUUGUCCAAAUGAUACUCGGACAUUCAGACUCUUUGUUGAGUAGAAAAGAAUCUUCAAAUUCUUGAUGGGGCUCAACAAAAGUCUGGAUGAGGUUCGUGGACGGGUGUUGGGAAUGAAACCACUACCUAGCAUCCGAGAAGUGUUCGCGGAAAUCCGGAGAGAAGAGGGCAGGAGGCGGGUGAUGAUAAGAGAAACUCAACCUAUCUCCUCUGCCGAAAGUGCCUCUGCACUCACCACACAGUCUGAUUCCUGUGGAAAGAAGAGAAGACCGUACUGUAAUCACUGCAGAAGACUCGGCCAUAUCCACGAGAAAUGCUGGAACUUGCACGAGAAACCCAGCGAGAAUAAGAUAGAAAGACAGAAAGCAAUGGAAACUGUCAAGGAAAUAUUGCUGCUUCCACUGUUGAAGAAAAUGUUGCAGAAAGCAGUCCGUUCAAUGCUGCACAAAUGGAGGUCCUUCAAUAAUUAUUCAAGCAGAAUUGUUUACCUACUCAGCCCGUGCAUGCUUCGGUGGCACAAAAAGGUAAAACAACAAUUAGUUUGACAGCAUGUUCUUUAGAACAGGACACAUGGGUGGUUGAUUCUGGAGCAUUAGACCAUAUGACGGGUAAUAUAUCCCUAUUUCAGAAUUAUAAAACAUCAGAUGAGGAUUUUACAAUUAAAAUUGCAGACUGGUCAAUCUCUAGAGUGGCUGGAACUGGUUCUAUUGUUUUAACACCGCAGUUGACCCUUCAUUCAGUACUUUAUAUACAAAAAUUGGACUGUAAUUUACUAUCGGUUAGCAAACUUUUUGAUAAUUUAAAUUGUAUUGCUAAGUUUGGUUCAAAAAUGUGUGAAUUUUAGGACUUGAAAUCGGGGAGGACGAUUGGCAUUGCUAGGAUGCACUCAGGCUUGUAUCUCCUUCAAACAGACCCUUCUGGAAGACAAGCUCAAACGACAGUAUGUACAAACUCUGUUCCUGAUAGUCAAUCAAAUAAUGAUCAUGAUAUCAUAUUAUGACAUUAUCGCUUAGGUCAUCCAAACUUUUUGUAUUUACAAAAGAUGUUUUCUUUAUUGUUCAAGAAUAAAAAUCCACUUUUGUUUCAAUAUGAAGUAUGUUAGAUCUCUAAACAUAGUCGAAACUCUUUUGCAAGUUUGCCAUAUAAGCCUUCCAAACUGUUUGCAUUAAUUCACAGUAAUGUUUGGGGACCUUUCAGGGUUACCAAUAUAUUCGAAAAUAAGUGGUUUGUAUUCUUUAUUGAUGAUGACACUAGAAUCACUUGGGUCUUCUUAAUGAAAGAAAAAUCCGAAAUAGGAGCCAUUUUCAAAAAAUUUAAUGCUAUGAUCCAAAGCCAGUUUCAUACCACUAUAUAGGUACUUAAAACUGAUAAUACCUGUGAAUAUUUUGAAACCACUCUUAGGAAAUACUUAUAAGAAAAUGACAUUAUUCACCAAAGUUCUUAUGUAUACAUUUCUCAGUAAAAUGGCAUAGCCGAACAAAAAAACAGACAUAUUCUUGAAGUCACCAGAUCCAUUAUGUUCACUGCCCAUGUUCCUAAGUUUCUUUGAGGAGAGAAAAUAUUCACUGCGACUUAUCUGAUAAACCAAAUGCCUUCCCGUAUUUUGCAUUUUCAAACACCCUAUGAUCUUCUCUCUCAGAACUUUCCUGAUUCACAUAUCUGACACUCACUGCCACUUAAAGUUUUCGGGUGAUCUUCCUUCAUUCAUAUCCACUCACAUCUUCGGGGAAAACUUGACCCAAGAGCUCUUAAGUGUAUCUUUGUUGGAUACUCGUCAAAUCAAAAAGGAUACAAAUGUUUUUUUUCGGAUACAUGACAAUUUUAUAAUACAAUAGAUGUCACUUUUCUUGAGAAUCAACCUUUUUAUCCCACUAUUGAUAUUCGGGGGGAGCAUUCUACUUAGGAAUAUCAAGUGUGGGAUGUUAGUAUCCCUUCCAUCUACCCACAAAAUUCACCUCCUCUAGAGCCUAAUUCGGAACCAGAACUUGUAGCAGAAAUUGAGUGUAUACUAUUUGCAGUAAAUGAGCUAUGUGUCUAUACUAGAAGGAACAUAGUUCGAUGGGGAACAAGUACUGAAACCAACCAGAACUUGCCAUGAAUCCGUACCCACUCCAGUGGUUAAAGAAUCAAUAGGUAAUGAGGUACGUGUUACUGACUCUGCUACUGAUAUUGACUUACCUAUUGCUGUGAGAAAAGGUACCAGAUUAUGCACAAAAUAUCCCAUACAAGAUUAUGUAUCAUUCGGCAAUCUAUCUCUGAAACAUCAAGCAUUUGUGAGUAAAAUAGACAGCAGUUCUCCAGAACCGAAAACAAUCCAUGAAACUCUUCAAAUACCAGAGUGGAGUACAACUAUUCAAGAAGAGAUUAGUGUUCUUAAAAAAAAUGGGACAUGGGAAUUGUCUCAGUUACCUCGAGGCAAAUGACCAGUUGGAUGUAAAUGGAUAUUCACGACCAAGUACAACCCAGAUGGGAGUGUAAAUCGACUCAAAGCACGCCUUGUGACCAAGGGUUUUACUCAGUCCUAUGGUAUAGACUAUCAAGAGACCUUUGCUCCAGUCGCCAAGCACAACACAAUACGGGUACUACUCUCUCUUGCAUCAAAUCUUGAUUGACCCCUUUGUCAGCUAGAUGUAAAAAAUGUAUUUUUGACUGGUGAUAUAGAAGAAGAAGUAUACAUAGAUAGCCCACUAGGUUUAGAUGCAGAAGAUCAAUCUCACAAGGUUUGCAAACUCAAGAAAUCGUUGUAUGGACUCAAGCAAUCCCCAAGAGCUUGAUUUGACAGAUUUACAAGGGCUGUAAAACAUAUUGGGUAUGAGCAGUGUCAAUCAGAUCACACUUUAUUUGUCAAACACUGUAUCUCAGGUAAGAGAUCAAUUCUAAUUGUGUAUGUAGAUGAUAUUAUCCUCAAAGGAGAUCAUAUUGAGAAAAUUCAAAGAUUUAAAGAUUUUCUAGCCAAGAAAUUCGAAAUUAAAGAUAUUGGAAUUCUUAAGUACUUCCUAGGUAUGGAAAUGGCCUAGUUUAUGAAAGAAAUUUUCGUAUCACAACGGAAAUAUGUCCUGGAUCUUUUGAAGGAAACAUGUAUGCUUGGUUGUAAACCUGCAGAUACACCUAUGGAUUCAACAAUGAAAUUGGGAUCUACAGAAUGUGAGAAGACUGUUGACAAAGAGAGGUAUCAAAAGCUGGUCGGGAAACUAAUAUAUUUGGCAUACACAAGAUCAUGCAUCAGUUUUGCAGCCAGUACAGUAAGUCAAUUCAUGAAUCAAUCGUCAGAAAUACAUAUGAAGGUCAUGUACAGAAUUUUGAAGUACCUAAAAAGGACAUCGGGGUAAGGGCUAAUUUUCCAAAAGAAAAUAAAUAGGGAUAUUGAAGUCUUUAAUGAUGCUGAUUGGGCAGGAUCAAUAACCGACAGGAGAUCCACUUCUGGUUAUUGCACAUACGUGUGGGGAAAUCUGGUCACAUGGCGCAGCAAGAAGUAGUCGGUAGUAUCCCGUAGCAGCGCAGAAUCUGAAUUUCGAGCACUUGUACAUGAAAUUUGUGAACGGAUGUGGUUGAGAAGAAUACUACUAGAAUUAAUAACAUUUACUGAUACUUCUAUGAAAGUGUGGUGUGACAAUUAAUUAACAAUCAGCAUGGUAAAAAACCCAGUAUACCAUGACAGGAUCAAACAUGCCGAGAUAGAUCAACAUUUCAUAAAAAAAAAAUUGAAGAUGGAACCAUAGCUCUUAUGCACAUCCUUUCAAAUCAACAAGUUGCUGACAUCCUAAUGAAGGCACUACCAAAACAAAUAUUUGAUAAUAUUGUAUCCAAUCUAAGUUUACUCAAUAUAUAUAUGUAAACUAGAUUGAGAGAGAGUGUAGAAAAUGCUAUAAUAAAUUAGGUUCAGAGUGGAAUAUUCCUAGUUGGUGAGGUGUCAUUCUUCUAGAAGGUGAGGUGGCAUGUGAACAACAAAAAUCUGUUAUCACACCUUCCUCACAUUCCUAAAAAGAUGCAUCAUUUUUCCUCUAUAAAUGGCACCCUUUGGUGCCUGAAAUUAAUAAGAGAAAAACAAGGGAGAAUUCCUUCACAAAAAUCUCCAUUCACAAAACUCUUCAAUUAAAACAGAAGAAAAUUAUACAAUAUUUCAAAUUUAAUCUGAUUGAUUGUAUAUUGACAUUUUCUGUAAGUGUAUUGUGAAAUGAUUAACUUCUAUUUGCAGGUCAAAUUAUGUGGAAACUAUGAAAUCUGCUCGGUGGGAGUACAGUACCCGUCCCAUCUAUGGAUGGGGUGAUGUGGGGUCUAAGCAGAAGUCUACGGCUGGCUGGCUUGCUGCUUUUCCUGUAUUUGAACCACAUUGGCAAAUAUGCAUGGCUGGAGGACUUUCAACUGGUACUUUAGCAAGCCUCUUUUUUUCAUGGAGACAAAAAACCUAUUAGAUAGAAUUUCCAGAAGAGGGGUCCUCUAAAACAAAAAAGAAAAUAGAAAAAGAGAAAUGGCAUAAAUAAAAUUCCAUAUAUACAAUUGGUGAUCAGCAAUAUAGUGAAAGCAAUAUCUUUAAUUCAACCUUACCCCAAGGAUUAUUGAGUUGUGGCUCGUAUCAAGAUAAUGUACUGAUCACAAAUAGAUUCCCACCAAAGAACUGGGUACAUGGAAUCAUAGGGUUUUUGAUGGGAUUGAAAACGAGAUUGGAAAGAUUAGGGAUAGAUGGUUCCAUUUUUUUUGUUCCUUAAUUAUUGGGCAUGACUUGUAUAGGGUGGAUGAUUUUGGGUAUAUAAUAGAUUGCCUAACAAAUAUGUAAUACUUUUGUACAUGGGCUGCACCCCCUUGGUGCUUUAUUAAUAUAUUUAUACUUUUUAUUUAAAAAACAAGGAACUGGGUACAUGGUACAACUCCUUUGGGUGUAAGGCAGUUUUUUUAGUAUUCAGGGUAAUUCUUCUGAAGUUCAAAUAUAUAUAUAUAUAUAUAUAUAUAUAUAUAUAUACAUACACACACACAUAUGAAAACACUAUUUCUGGUCCUGUUGGGAAGGAAUUGAGGGUUGAAUCAGUGAUUGAUGUUUAUGGUGAUGGAUGAUCAGGGGCAGGGAGAGGCUGUCAUUCUAUUUCUCUGGUGAGUUCUAACCAGUUGGAGGUGUCAGAAUGGUUUCUGAAGAAGGUUGAUAAGGUUCUGAAGCUUUUGGGAGCUGACAUUACUAGUGUCAAGUUAUUGAAGCUCGCAAGUUGGCUUUUAAAUUUGCAGACAAUCAGGACACAAGUGAGGACACCUAGACGGAUUACGUCAAAAAAAUUAAGAAAACUGGAUUUUCUGAUUACUUAUGAUAAGGUGAGGAAGGAGCACAACAGUGGUGAGGGUCUAACCAGUGUCUCCAUUAUGUCUAUGUCAUGUUAGGAUUAUUUCUUGAGAUGUGAGGAUGCUAAUAAUUUGGGCAAAAGAGCUGUUAUUCAAAAUGUCUUGUGAAUGUAGUUGAGGAUGAUGUGUCUCUAGGAAAUGAAAACAGAGCUGUUGAAUGACUUGUGAUCAUAGUCUGUGCAGGGAGCCGAUUUGGACUAAAAGCAAAGCCAACUCCUGUGUCUUUUGGGAAUUCUGAUUAUGUGUAAAGAAAGUGGUUUGGAUCCCAUGGAUUAGCAGAUCUUCUAGUCUGUCUUGGAUUUUUUCAGAGUUUACAAGAAGGAUGAAGGCAGCGAGAGGAGGCUUCUUAUUGAUAAGCUCUCAACACCAAUAAGAUAAGAAACAAUUCCGUACUCCUUUAUUGAUGAACUCUUAGAAGAACUAAAUGGAGCAAAAUUCUUCACGUUUGAUCCAAUCCUCAAAUUCGAUUAGACCUGAGGGAUAUUAGAAGUCUGUCUUUUGGACUCAAUGUAGCUGCUUCUAGUUAUUGGUAAAUGCCAUCUGGGCUAACUAAUGCCCCACCACUUUUUUAGUCCUUAAUAAACUUAGGCAUCCAGUAUAUGUCUUAUAUCGUGCUUUUUGGAGACAUUAAUUUAUAAUUGAUCUUUGUUCGGUAUCUCUAUCAUUUACUAACUGUUUUUUUCCAAAAUACAAUCUGAUCAUUUCUUCCUCAAGAGAUCCAAGUGCUCUUUCCUCAUCUACUAUUCCUCAAGAGAUCCAAGUGCCUCUUUGCUCAGCCACAGGUCUCUUACCUAUGGCACAUCAUCUCAGUGCACAGGGUUGCAGUGGAGGAUUUGAAAAGGACGAAGAGACAAUUGGCCAAGACCAUCUACUUGUUAGACACUGAGGGGUUUUCUCAGUCAUUGGGUAUUAAAGGAAGUUUUCUGGGACAAUGGUGUAAUUGUGGGUCCACUAGUAGUCCUAGGGUCCAUGGUGUGAUUGGAGGUCCAUGAUAGCCAUGUUGAGAAUUUCCUUUUUUGCUUGGGUUGCAGAAGCCGCCAUAAUUAUUGGACACCUGAAACACUUAAGUCCAACACCCUGUCUAGGCCUUCCUGGUUAUUUUUCCUUGGUGAAAUUUGAUGUCUCAGGUCAUAUAAUCUACCCCAACUGGUGGCCUACAGCUGCACCUUACUGUUUUUCUUCAGGGACUGCCGACUGACAAGAAGAGCUAAUUGACCUUGCUAAGGUUGUCUGCUCCUAGCGCCCAUCCUGGGAGCAAGUUUUUUGUGGUCAGCACAAAUCAUUUUAGUCCAGGUAUAAGCGAAUUAAUCGGCUAUGAGUUCUAUGUGGAAUACAGAGCAUGCUGUGAAAAGAAAGUUGUGGAUUCGCUUUCAUGACAGCAUGAAGACCAAGGCUUACUCAUGGCCAUCUCCAUGUGGCAAUUAGAAUACUUUCUUCCACUGGAACUGGAAAAUUUUAUUGGCAAGGAUUAGUCGAGCGAGCUUUCAACACUUGUUCUUCGCUGAGAACAUUCUCUUCUUCAAGAAUCAAGUAUUCCUCUCUUUACUCCCCUCAAUUCUAGUUAUCUUGCUUGCUACUUGUAAUAUAGUGCAUUGAGGGUAACAACAGAGCCGCAAGAGAGUAACAGGUGACUUUUACUGGAAAAGGGCAUAAAGGGCCAGUCUAGGAAUUUGUUUGUGCUCGUCCCAUGUGCCAAUGCCGAAAGAUGAAACAAACUUUAGCUUGCGAUGCCAGGACGCGCUUAGUCUGACAUUUCAAUGGAUCUCAUUGAGGGUUUGCCCUUCUUUUAUGGUAAGACAUUUCUUAUUGGUGGUGGUUGAAUUCUCACCCCUUUAGAGGGACCUAUUUGUAAACAUUGAAUUUUUUUUAAUAUGAGCCAUAACUCAACAAAAAGAUCCAAUAAAACACUAAAACAUCCUACCCUAGGGCCUCUAGGCCACAUUAUAAUGCAAAAAAGAGAUGACUAAGGGACUUAGUAUUCAAUACCUGCAGGGAAAGGUAUGAUUAGCCUUGUGAACUUGAAGGACAUAAUUUGUAUUGAUCCUGUUAAGAACACCUGUCAGGACAAAAAUCUUUACCUUUGUAGGAGCUGAACAUUCCAAAAAAUUUUGAUAAAUUUCACUGUCCUUAUUGGAAAGAUUGUGGGUUAAAUAGGUAAUGUAAGGACUUGCAAUUGGAAAUACCAACGAAUUCAAAAACCAAACUCCCAUGCAAGGUCUAGAAGAAAUGAUGAUAGGCUUAAGUAGAUGAAGCAAGGAAAUUAAAUAAAUAGUUUCCCAGUCAUUUAAAAUUUCAACAAGAAUAGGUUCCAAGAUAUCCCACUUUCCAAAUUGGCAAUGAAACUGGAUAUAGGAGGGUUGUGAUGAAGGGAUAAUUAGUAUAGCUGUGGAAAGUGGUAGUUUGCUUCUACAUUGCUUUACGUAUCUCUCUUUUGUUUCUUUACAUGGGAACCUUGAGGGGAUAAACCUCAAAGUAGCUGGUGACACUUUAAAGUAGUGGUUUGCCUUGUGGGGAGAGCUACAACCAAUGAGAUAGUAGCUUUUUAAUUACAUAUGCAUCUUAAGUUUUGCAUAGAAAUGAACCCUUUACUAUAACCUUCUAUGAACCAAAUUUUACUUGAAUGGUGCAAGAGGUGAUACUAUUUUCUAUCAUCCAGGUUACAACAGUGUUUUUGACGACACAUUGGCCUAAACCAAGUAAAGCCUGAUACAGGCUGGAAAUAUAAUCCUACACAAUCUGUCAGACACAGUUGGAAGCUAUAUGUUUCAAAACUAAGGGGAGCUAACUAAAUUUGAGUCAAAAUGCAACUCAAUCUCUAUAAUUUGUGUCUAUAGGCACUUAGUUGUAUCAUGAUAUUGGGGUAGAGCAUGUGGAUGUGAAUUGGUAAAUGUCAUAUACCGUCCUUGGAUUUGAACAAAAUCUUUGAAUUCUGUUUCUUACACUUUCCAUGCACUCAGGACAGUAUUCACUCAGGCAGACUUUGAUUGCAGGUUGGAUAGAGUGGGGUGAUGAAAGGUUUGAGUUUAAAGAUGCCCCAUCUUACUCAGAAAAGAACUGGGGUGGAGCCUUCCCUAGAAAAUGGUUUUGGGUAUUAGCUUCUCUUUCUCUUUCUAUGACUAAGAAUUUAUCAUUUGCAUUAUCCAUGCUUGCUUUUCUACGGUGUGAGUUUGUUUACCAAAUGGUAAAAGUAUGCACAUAAAGAUCUUGGUAAUGAAUCCAUGACCAGUUAUGUCUCUUUGCCCAAUUGUGACCGGGACUGCAUUAUAAGCAUCUAUAUGUUAGAUUUUAAUUUUAUAACAUUUAGGAUUGGUAACAUCAUAGUGUUAUUACAUAUGUACUUAAUAUCUUCAGGUUGUAAUGUGUCUGCUCUUUAUUAAUUUAUUUAAAUCACAGGUUCAAUGUAAUGUCUUUGAAGGUGCAACUGGGGAAGUUGCUUUGACUGCAGCUGGUGGGUUGAGGCAAUUGCCUGGACUGAAUGAAACCUUUGAAACUGCUGCACUGGUACCUCCUUACAACAAUUUCUGCACUCUGCUUUUUCCUAAUAUUUCAUGUUCUUGAGAUGCAAAUAGAUUAUGGAAGUGGUUAAGAUGGAAUUAAAGGUCAAAGAUAGGAAAAUGUGAGACCCAUAUGUGGGUUUAAUGGCGAGAAACUGAAUUUGUGAAGUAGCUUUUUGUUUAUGGAUGGUGAAAAUUAAGUAAUUAACCAUUAUGCUGUCUGUAUGAUUACCAUAUUAAACAGCUACGUUGGUGUGGAUUCUUCUCUUACUCUAAUAUAUACAGAUUACUCUAUUGAAGAUAUUUUACCUGACUUAUGUUUAAUGUUGAUGUAUUGCUAAGUUUUUUUAAGCGAAUCCCUAAAUAUAGGGUUAAAUAUAGUUACCAUUUCAAAAAUGAUGAAGCAAAAGAACUGAAAGAGUCACUUCCUUGUAAAAUGUAAUUCUAUAAUAUUUAUGUAAUUUUAGCAUUUUCUUGUUUUUCUUUUUCUGUUAUACAGAAUAUGUAGGACAUAUUAGCGAGGUUUAGGGGUUAUUUUGGUUAUAUCUUUUUGUUUAUUUUUCUUCUUUGGAUGAAGUAGCAUCUUGUAUCUCUUGUCUUAUAGAUCCUUUCAGGUGCUAGACUUUUGAUGGCAAGGCCAACUGGCUAAAUUAUGUCAUCUUUUAUUGGUCCAUAGAUUAUGGCAACUCCCUAGUGGCCAACUUGUCUCACUUUUGAUUGGUUCAAAAGUGGUGUAACUCUUUAUGGAAUUAACUAGUUCUCAAGUUGCCAUUGGUUCUUUUUGCCACCCAUUUUUACUAUCUAGGAUAUUUGAUGUAAUACAAAAAUGAAGAUGAUGAUUAUGUUAUUUUGGAAAUGACUUUGAAGCAUAUUUCUCGUGAAAAUUCAACUCUAUUCUUUUCUGACGUUUUCUUCAUUUCUCCCUUAAGUCUCUCUUCCCCUCCUAGUCUCCUCUUUUUCUACCUUGAGAUUUCAUUAAACAGUGCUCUUCAAUAUCUUCUUUGUUAGUAGCUAUAAUUGUUAGGUGUCUAAAUCAGAAAUAGUUUAACACAAUGAUAUACGCACCUAUAUAAGUUCAGUCUCUCGAAUUAGCCACUCUUUUCUCAUAUUUUGGGAUGGGCUGGUACAGAUUGGAGUCCAUUAUGGUGGUCGUUUCUAUGAGUUUGUGCCAUGGAAUGCGGAAUUAAGUUUCGAAAUGGCUCCAUGGGGUUUUUGGCAUAUGACUGCAGAAAAAGAGACUCAUCUGGUAAUUUGCAUCUUUUAGUUAUGUUUUCUUUCUUGAGGCAGUAGCCUAGUUUAGGAUUAAAGUUUAGUUUUUAAAAGGGAAAUUUAUUAAAUUGUCUACUCAACUUAGGAGUUUGACCAUAUAUUUUUUGAGCCGUUUUUUUAAAGUAUUUUCUUUAAAAUUAAUUGAUGGAAUUUUCUGUUUUGAGACAGGUUGAACUGGAGGCAAGGACAACAGAUCCCGGUACACCAUUGCGUGCCCCAACUUCUGAAGCUGGCCUUGCUCCAGCCUGUAAAGAUACUUGCUUUGGUGAGUUGAGACUGCAAAUGUGGGAAAGAAAAUCGGAUGGCAGUAAGGGAAAGGUACGUUCUAUGAGCAAGGGAGAUUUCAUCUUAAAUAGGAGUAGGAAACAAUUUUUUUAUAAGAAUUUUUUUUUGGUUUCUAUUUUCCUAAAUUCAUGUAGUUUUAUACAUAAAGAAUUUAUAUGGUGAUAUGUGUGUACAAGAAGAUAAUAGUAAUUCUUAAAAAAUAUUAAAAAUAACUUUUCAAAAUUCUUUUUCGAACUCCAUAUAUUUUUAUUAUCAUUUUCCAAACUGCAUGUUUAUUUUCAAUUGUCAUGCAUGUUUUCAUAAAUAACAGAUAAUUAUUUUAUAACACAAAAAUCAGGAAAUAUUUUCAAGUACCAAGCAAAAGUCAUUUUUUUAAUGAUUCGUUCAAUGCAAGUUAAGUUUAAAUUGCUUAAGUAUUGAACUGUUGCAUCAAAUGAAAUGGCUAUUAACUAGUUAUUACACAAGAAUCAUUCAUGACUUCAAUUUCAGCACUUAUCGGUAUCCUCGGUCUUGUUAUUGCUCGGUUAUAUCUAUUUUAAAUAUGGAGUGCAUGUACUCUAUCUUUAUGGACUUCAGCUCCACUUGCAGCAUUAUCUUUUGGUUUCUCAGCUUGCUCUUGAUUGUUUCAUAUGAUCGUGCAGAUCUCUCGGUUUAAAUCUUUAAUGUGUCUUUAGUCCUAUUAUAGUUUUAAUAUAAAAUAGUUAUUACCCAUUUAAGCAUAUGAACUGUUGAACAUGUAGGUAAUUUUGGAUGUUACAAGUGAUAUGGCUGCGGUAGAAAUUGGAGGUGGUCCAUGGUUAACCACUUGGAAAGGGAAGACAAAUACACCAGAGCUGGUAAAAAGUGCACUCAAGGCCCCUGUUGAUGUGGAAACAGUUUUGGGUUUGGUCCCAUUUUUGAAGCCUCCUGGUCUAUAGUAAGCUCAUUAGAUACGUAAACACACACACAUACACACACGAGUUCACGGUUUGUGAACCAAGAUCAAAGCAUGCACAAGUUCCAAGGCAUGAUGGUUUCGAUUGAAGCAUGAACAGGCUUGGUGGCAGGAUGAUUUGUGCACAGACAUUUGAAUAUUUUUAUGAAGAAAAUGUGUGUAUAGUUGUUUCUAGAUUUGAUCUCUAAUAUAUACAUUUUUAUUAUAUUUGGUCUAUAAUUUUAUUUAUUUCGAAUGUUUAGUUUAUUUUUAUUUUUUAGCAAAAAAAAAAAUGUUAAAACAUGUAGAAUAUGUUUUGAUGUUUUAAAAAACAGUUCAAAAAAUAACUUUAACUAAUUAAUUAAAUUAAUAGAUGAAUAAAUUAUUAAUAAUUUUAGAUUUAUUUUUUUUUAUUAUUAAUAUAUUAAUUUACUUAUUUAAUUAAAUUUAUUUUUUAAAUAUUUAAAUAUAAUUUAAUUAUUUCAUUUUUUGCUUGUUUAAAAUAAAUUGAAGACAUUAGAAAUUAAAUUAUAACUAAAAUAAUAUUAGAAUUUAAAUUAUAUCAACUGUCAAAAUUUAAAAAUUAAUUAGUAAUUUACUGAAGAUAGUAACCUUCUCUUUGCCAUUUUCUAAAAUUAAAACCAGAACAUAGCUACAGAGUAUAACCGCCAUCAGCCAUCCAAUAAAAAUGAAUCUGAGCAGUGUACAAAAUACAUAUACAUGUAUAGACACAGACAUAUAUAACAUAAUUGAUAAAAGAAGAGAGAAUCAUGAGAUCCCUCUCCACUGAAUCGUUGUACCAUACAUUCCAAAAAUUAAUGAAAGUGUUAUUUUUAUGGGGCACGUGUGGGACAUUUGAGUUUCUGGUAGUGAACUUUGGGUUAUGAUAAAUUAGCCAAUGGAUAUAAUAUUUGCUACUUUAAUCAUUAGGUUGAAUGAUGAACUGGUAAUGGUGACAGAAGAAAAACCUUGUAAUCAUGAAACCCGCCGCUCCUGAAAUCCCAUUUCCUUCUCUUUUAUGCAUGAAAGAAAUAUGUAAAUCAACCCACAUGCAUUCUUUCUUUCAUCCCCUUCACAUUAUUCUUCUUCCAGUAAAGAACUAUGUAAAUCACCCUCUGUUAAAUACUCACUGUUUCUUCUUCCCACUUCAGCUUUGGUGAUCUUUUGAUUCCACUUUCUCUGUUGCAACCAGAAAAACCCUAAAAAUAGAAGAAUCUUGGCUCGGCCAAAUUAAGUAGGAGUUGAGUGGAACAGUAAGCUCUUCAUUAUGAUGAUUAAUUAAACUUCAUUUUCCAAAGUAGUAAAAAGAAAAUAAUUGCUUUUGUUGGCUGCUUGUUGUGAUAGUGAGCUCAUGCAAUGCAAGGAGCACAGUGCAGAGGCUGGAGAACAUAGAUGAAAAUGGCCCUGCGAGUUGGAGUAAGUCAGAGUUUUGUGCAGCACCUGAAACCCCAGUUGAGCCCAUGGAGUUUCUUGCAAGAUCUUGGAGCCUCUCAGCUGUGGAGCUCUCUAAAGCUCUUUCAAAUUCCCACGUUUCUGAUCCCAAAAACCUUGACAUUGGGGCAGGGGAUGCCAGCUCCAUGGCUUCAAGAGAAUCUGUAAGAUCCAUAUAUACUUGAUUUUUACUUAAUUCAAAGAUCAUAUAGAAAAAUUUGUUAGUAACAAGAGAGAGAUUCAAUUAUAACAAAUAGUUGCUUCGCUUUUACAGCUGCUUCAGCAGUUAACUACUGGGAGUAACCAUGCAAUCUCUCUGAGGGAUAGUGAAGAAAUGAAGGUAAAUUCCCCCUGUUCUAUUUUGUUUCCAUCCAUGAAUUUCCCUCGUUCUAACAUUAAUUGGAAAAAAUUCUAUUUUGGCAUGUGUAUCUUCCUUAAGUUAAAAUUAAAACACUCAGUAAAUAUAAAAUAAUAAUUACUCUGAUUACAUUAUCACUAUUAAUUCCAUCAACUGUAUAAUCCGGCAGGAAUUACUUUUACUACAUCAAGCACUUAAUCCAGAACUCCUUCCCAAUCAGCAACUGCUCAAAAAUGGGGUAACUAAGUCCAAAAACCUCAUCUCAAUCAUCAAGUAUUUGUUAAAGUUACAACACUAGCCAACACAUAAUCUUUAUUUGACCAAGUUUAUUAUCUAAUAAGUCAUUCACUAUUUUAUCUAGUUCUAAACAUUCGGUUUUGGUUUUCUAUUUUUUAGAGAUUUGUUGAAGAACCGUUAGCGAAUGAGUUAGUGACAGAGAAUAAGGUAACAUGACUGAUUAAUAGAAAAAUUAGUGGCAAAAAACAUGACUUGGUUAGUAGAUAAGUUAAUGGCGGAGAAUAAGAAAACAUGUUUUGGGGGUGGAGAAAUUAGUGAUAGAAAGUAAAUGAACAUAACUUUUGUUUACAUUGAUUGUAUACCUAUAUAAGACAGUUAUCUGCAUUAAAUGAAUUCAUUCCUUUGUUACUUCACUUUUUAUUUUAUAAUAUAUCUUUCACUGAGUGUAUUUCCUUUUUCCUCUCUGUAAUAUAUAUUUUGUUGUAAUUCUUUUGUUGUGUUUCUCAACAGUAUUGUAACUGCUGCAGCAUCGUUUCCUUUCUUACUGCUCUGCAGCUCUACAGGAGCAUACUGGGAGGGAGAACAAAGGGGAGAUCUCUGAAGGAUCAGAAGGAAAAGAAGAAGCAGGAGAUGAGAGCUCACAAUGCCCAAUUGCUUGCAGCUGUAUCUGUGGCUGGGGUUGCUGCAGCAGUUGCAGCACUUGCUGCCUCAAAUGCAAUGUCAGCAGAAAUGACAGCUUCCCACCAGAAGACACUUUCCAAAAUGCCAACUGCAAUUGCAUCUGCUACAGCGCUUGUAGCAUCUCAUUGCAUUGAGAUUGCAGAGGAUAUGGGAGCUGAUCAUCAUCAGAUCUUAAAAGUUGUCAACUCUGCAAUCAAUGCAAGAACUAGUGGAGAUAUCAUGACCCUAACAACUGGAACAACAACAGGUAAUGAGCACUUGCAACAGUUAUAAAUUCUGUCGAUCCAAAUGUUAUGCAAGUAGGUAAAUUAAGUGAACAGAGAGUGAAGUAGGAAAAAUAAAUGACGAGAAAAAUAUACGUAGUUCAGCAAAUUAUGCCUAGUUCUAUAGGAAUAGGAGGGAUGAAUCUUGAAUUCGUUAUAGAAGAACUCUGAAGAUUAUAGAUGCAAUCUCUUUUUUAAUCAUACCUACUUUACAUUCAAAUCUCAUGUCUUGAUACAAAAACUAGAAUAGUUCAGCAGGGCCAAAGUUGACUAAGAAGAUCAGAAACUUAAAAGCUUUUUUUUUUUUUUAUCUAAAGAUGCUAUCGAAAAUGGUGAGUGCCGAGUCCUAAUUAAACAAACUAAUUUCAGCAUUGGGAGGAGCUGCCACCUUAAAGUCAAGGCUGCAAAAUGUGUAUGGGAUUACAACCUCUAAUCUAGUCAAAGAAAAGGAAGAAGAGGAUAGUGAACCAAACAUGUCAAAAGCAUUGAACUAUGUCUCUGUAGGUGGUGAACUUCUCAAACGUACAAGGAAAGGUAUCUACUGCCAGCAUAAAACAUUCUUAUUCUGCUCACUACUAUAUAUCGGAAUUACUUGUCGUUGAUACUCACUGAUGCAUUACAUUGAUGUAGGAGAUCUUCACUGGAAGCAAGUAUCAUUCAACAUUAAUUCAAAUUGGCAGGUAAAGAAGUCGGCAACACUGAACAAAUCCAUGUGAUUAUUUCAUUUAAAGGAACAAAUGUAAAAUGGAUAUGUCCAGUGGGAAAUAGUACUUUCAUCUUAUUGUCUAUUGAAUAUAUCAGCUAUUGGUAUAAUAAAAAAUCAUGAAUAAAAGCAGUUGGUAGCUAAAAUGAAAAGCAAGCACAUAGCAGGAACAUUCACCAAAAAGAAGAAGUGUAAGCUAAGUCAAACCCAAAUUCCUUAUUACCUGUUUCUGCACCAACUUAGUUGCGCCACACUGGACUUGCAGGUGUAGUUUCUGGAGUCUACUGUGACAUCCCAGCAUGGUCUGGAACGGAGAAAGAACAGAGCAAUGAACAGAGAGCAUACUUCGGGAUAAAACAGUAGAGAGAAUAUAGAAUUUGAAUGCAAAACGAUGAUGAUAAAGAUGUGGAUUGAGGGAUUCAAUACAUGCUGAACUAUAGUGGUAAUGGGAUCCAGUUUACUAAGACAACAUUUGGAUUGCCAGGAAACUAGAGUUUAAGUUAAGCAAGGAUGGGGACGCGUAUAUUCCAAAAUUUCUAGAUAAAUAUUGUGUGAAGGGUAAGACUUCAUAUAAAAGCUGUCAGUAAUAUGCAGACUGAAAAGAGACUAUAAAAGGGGAUCAUGUCAUUCUGUCAAGCUCUCUUAUGGGAAGACAUGGAUGAUAAAACUAUACAACAUCAUCUAAAAAUUAACCCUUCAUAAUAGUAAGUUUACUAAGAUGGGCUUCCCCUUAUAAUAGUUUUUUGUCAUUUCUUUUGCUUUAACAAGGCCAUAUUAGCUAAGCAAGUUUGACAGGUAACUGCAAACCAGUAUUCACUUGUUUUUAAAAUUCUACAAGAAGAUUUUCUAACUACUUUCUUUGGGACAUUGCCCUUGUUAUACACGGCUAAGUUCCCUAGUGGGUAGAGAAUUGCUGAGGGAUUGGUUGAAACGGCGGAUAGAAAUGACUGCAAAGUAAAAAGUUGGGAGGAAAAUUGGUUGCCAAAUCAAACUGGAAACAAAAUAUCGUUUCCUCGGCCAUUGCUUACACCAGCGGACAAGGUUACUGUACUACAGGAAAAAUGUUCUUGGUUGGAAUAACAAGUUGAUCCACCAACUAUCUUUUUAAGAAAGCACCGGACAUUGUUUGAAUACCUUUAAAUUAAAGGCUAGCACCCAAUAUGCCUACGUACAAGUAUGAGCAGAAUGGAUGGUACAUGGUUAAAUCCAUUUGUAUAAGGGCUUGGAAAUAACAACUAGCCUCCUGUGUCGCUUCCUCAACUUGUGGUUCUAUUAUUGAUCAGAAGAAACUUUGGAUUGAAAAUAAUGUGCCAAGAGUUAAAAAACUUGAAGCAGAAACUAGUUAAAGACUUUAAAUAUAUGCUUUAUGUGUUAGGAGUCUAAAGAAACUGUUGAUCAUUUACUUGGACUAUGUGUAUAUACUGUUGAGUUUUGAAUAGAGAUAAAAUUAAUUGUAUAAAUUAAUUCAAUUCUAAAUUAAUUAAUAGAAACUAAUAAUCAUAAUUUUAAGUUAAAUUGAUAUAUAACAAAGGAAAAAUAAUAAGCAAAUAAUAAUCGUAAAAUUAAAUAUACAUAAGAUUUUACGUGAAUAACCUUUUAUUGCGAAAGAAAAAACUAUAGAUUAAGUUCUAAAUCAAAUCAACUAUUAAAGAAAAUUAUUAUAAGAUAAUACAUAAAAAAUUAAAUCUAAAAUAAAAAGAACAAUAUUUUUUUUUGUGCAGAACUGAGAGAAAAAAAAAUAAGGAGAAAAAAAAAUUAAAAUUAAACUUCCCUAAAGAAGGACGAAAUUGCAAAUGUCGACGAUUAUGUCACAAGGGAGAGAGAAUAGAAGCCACCUAUAUAUAUGUAUAUAUAUAAAAUAGAAGCCACCUAUAUGUAUGUGUAUAUAUAUAUAUAUAUACUUCCUUUUAUCCUCUUGCCGCACAACCUCUCUUCUCUUUCUCUUUUAAAUAUGUUUUUUUGUGUGCAACACAUAUAUAUAUAUACCCCAAAAACACUUCGGCCCUAAUUCUAUUUUUUCUUUUCUUUUUAAUUACUUAGGCUGGAUACAUAAUGAACAAUCUCCUCUUCCAACCCAUGAGGAGACGUCCACCAUACAUUGCUCAAUGUCCAAUCAGUCCCACAUUCUUGGUGCAAGACUAAUGCUUGUCACGAGUCAGUACCUUAGUCAAUAUGUCAACUAGAUUUUUAUCAGUGUGAAUCUUUUUCAAUAGCAUAUCUUUAUUAUUCACCGCAUUUCGUAUCCAAUGGUAUCUCAUAUCAAUAUUCCUUAGUACAAUAAUGAUAUAUGAUAUUCUUACUCAAAUCUAGAGUACUUUAACUAUCACAAUUCAUCACAUACUCAUAUUGCUUUAAACCCAACUCUUCGAGAAAUCUUUUCAUCCAGAGCAUUUCUUUACCUACUUUAGUCAAAGCUACAUACUCUGCCUCAGUUAUAGAUAAGAUAAUACUUUUUUACAAUUUAGAUUGCCGUGAUACAGCUCCCCCUGCAAAAGUAAACACAUACCAUAAAGUAGACUUUCUGUUAUCACGAUCACCUGCCAUAUCUGUAUCUGUAUAUCUCUCUAGAAUUGGUUCUGAACCUCUAAAACACAAACACAUAUUAGAAGUACUUCUCAUACAUCUAAAAAUUCAUUUUACUACUUCCUAAUGACUCUUACUAGGGUUAGAAAGAAAUCUGCUUACCAAACCAACAACAUGAGCAUUAUCUGGUCGAGUGCAAAUCAUACAUACAUUAAACUCCCAACUGCAAAGGAGUAAGGAAUGACUGACAUUUCUUCUUUUUCUUUUUGAGUAGCAAGACAUAAUUUCUUACUAAGUGUGAAGUGGUUAGCAAGUGAUGUGCUAACUGGCUUAGCAUUUUUCAUAUAAAAUCUGUUUAGAACAUGUUUAACAUAUCUUUCUUGUGACAGCUAUAACUUUUUAGUUUCCUUAUCACGUGUAAUCUACAUACCAAAAAUCUAUCGUGCUAGUCCCAAAUAUUUCAUAUAAAAAAAGUAAAACAAUUUUUUUUUUCAAACCACUAAUCUCUGAAGUAUCUUGUCCUAUUAUCAACAUAUCAUCAACAUAAAACAGUAGAAUGACAAAUUUACCAUAUGAGAAUGUCUUGAAGUACACAUAAUGAUUUGCAUCUAUUCUUGUGUAGCCAUGAUUGACCAUGAAAGAAUCAAAUUUCUUGUGUCCCUAUCUCGGAGCCUAUUUCAAUUCAUACAAACUCUUUUUCAACCUGCAAACCAUGUGUUCUUUCCUUUUGACUUCAAAUCCCUCUAGUUGAUGCAUGUAGAUUUCUUAUUCCAAGUCACCAUGAAGGAAUGCUGUUUUUACAUCCAGUUGUUCUAGGUCAAGAUCUAAACAAGCAAUCAAACUAAGAAUUACCUGAAUAGAGCUCAUCUUCACAACAGGAGAAAAUAUCUCAUCAAAGUCAAUUCUUUUCUUCUGAUUGAAACUUUUUACUACCAAUCAAGUCUUAUGUAUCUCCAUCACUAGCUUCUCACCAUCCAUCUUAAGCUUGUAUAUCCACUUAUUUUUUAAAGAUUUUCCACAUUUUGAAAGUUCAACUAACUCAUGAGUAUUAUUAUUCUUUAAGAGCUUAUCUUUUCUUUCAUUACUUUCAACCAUUGAGUCUUUCUUGAUGGUUUAAACUUCUUCAAAGCUUUUUGGCUCCCCUCUUCAAUAACUGUAAUAUACUCAGAACUAGGAUAUCUGGUAGAAGGAUGAUGUGUUCUAAUCGAUCUUCUAAGUUGAGGUUCUUCUGUAACCUGAUAUGCAAGGGGUUGCUCCUCAUGCUCAACAUCAUCUGGUGCUGACAUAUUAUCAAACCCUUGAUCAUCACGUAACUCUUCCUCAUCUGUGGCAUCUCUUAUUGAAGGAGAAAUUAGUGCAUGAAAAGGAGUUUCUUUACUUAUAAUCUUCUCCGAUGUCUUAAAGUCUGAUAAGAUCUUGUGCUCAUAAAAAAUUACAUCUCUGGACCUGACGACUUUCUUUUUUACUGGAUCUCAUAAUCUGUACCCAAAUUCUGUAUCUCUAUAAUCCAGAAGAACACAUAAAACUUUCAUGUCAUCAAUCUUCUAUCUUUGUUCCUUAGGUACAUGCCUAAAUGCUUUGCAGCCAAAUACUUUCAAAUGAGAAUAACUGAUGUCCUUUCCAGACCAUACUCUUUGAGGAAUAUCAAAAUCUAAAGGAGUUGAUGGAGAUCAAAGCAUCACGUAGUAGACAGUAUAGAGUGCUCACCCCAAAAUGGUUUUGGUAAAUUAGCCAUUUUCAAUAUAUAUAUAUAACUUUUUCAAGGGGGGUUCUAUUUGUUCUUUCAGCUACAUUAUUAUGCUGAGGAGUACCAGACACUAUCUUCUCAUGUCUAAUUCCAUGCUAUAAGCAGUAAUUCUCAAACUCCUUUGAAGUGUAUUCACUAUCAUUGUCAUUGCGAAGAUACUUUAAGGAAGUUCAUUUCUCUCUUUUCAUCAUGAUAUGAAAUUACUUAAAAUAUUGAAAAAUUUGAUCUUUUGUUUUCAACACAAACACCCAAACCUUUCAUGAGACAUCAUCAAUAAAAGUAAAAAAAUAUCUGUUACCUCCAAUUGUUUCCACAUCAAUAGGACCACACACAUCAGAGUAAACUANNNNNNNNNNNNNNNNNNNNNNNNNNNNNNNNNNNNNNNNNNNNNNNNNNNNNNNNNNNNNNNNNNNNNNNNNNNNNNNNNNNNNNNNNNNNNNNNNNNNNNNNNNNNNNNNNNNNNNNNNNNNNNNNNNNNNNNNNNNNNNNNNNNNNNNNNNNNNNNNNNNNNNNNNNNNNNNNNNNNNNNNNNNNNNNNNNNNNNNNNNNNNNNNNNNNNNNNNNNNNNNNNNNNNNNNNNNNNNNNNNNNNNNNNNNNNNNNNNNNNNNNNNNNNNNNNNNNNNNNNNNNNNNNNNNNNNNNNNNNNNNNNNNNNNNNNNNNNNNNNNNNNNNNNNNNNNNNNNNNNNNNNNNNNNNNNNNNNNNNNNNNNNNNNNNNNNNNNNNNNNNNNNNNNNNNNNNNNNNNNNNNNNNNNNNNNNNNNNNNNNNNNNNNNNNNNNNNNNNNNNNNNNNNNNNNNNNNNNNNNNNNNNNNNNNNNNNNNNNNNNNNNNNNNNNNNNNNNNNNNNNNNNNNNNNNNNNNNNNNNNNNNNNNNNNNNNNNNNNNNNNNNNNNNNNNNNNNNNNNNNNNNNNNNNNNNNNNNNNNNNNNNNNNNNNNNNNNNNNNNNNNNNNNNNNNNNNNNNNNNNNNNNNNNNNNNNNNNNNNNNNNNNNNNNNNNNNNNNNNNNNNNNNNNNNNNNNNNNNNNNNNNNNNNNNNNNNNNNNNNNNNNNNNNNNNNNNNNNNNNNNNNNNNNNNNNNNNNNNNNNNNNNNNNNNNNNNNNNNNNNNNNNNNNNNNNNNNNNNNNNNNNNNNNNNNNNNNNNNNNNNNNNNNNNNNNNNNNNNNNNNNNNNNNNNNNNNNNNNNNNNNNNNNNNNNNNNNNNNNNNNNNNNNNNNNNNNNNNNNNNNNNNNNNNNNNNNNNNNNNAAAAGGAGGAAAUUACUGAUGUCGGCGAUGAUAUCACGAGGGAGAGAGA
rnacentral:lncRNA from 1 species